ensembl:lncRNA
CCCCCUAAAAUGUUCUUCAGCCCCCCCAAAUCAUUUGGCAUUAUUGACUUAAAAAAAAAAAAAAAAAAUGUAACUAUUGUUUCUGACACGGACAAGUUAUUUAUAACUUUAACAUGCUACUUAUGUGCGUGCGUUCUGGUCUGUAUGUUUACUCCCCCUUCAAAUUAUAAUCCAAUAGCCUUUCAUCAUACUUUACGAUAUAAACCCCGGGCACUAGUACCGUCUCUCGUCAACGACAGCCAGUAUUAUAGACAAGGAGUUCAAAGUAAAUGAUCCACGGAGUGAAAUUAUGGAUAUAAGAACAUUCUUUAGGAGAGGUGGCAGCUCCGCCCAGUCAGAUGAGAGAGAGAAGCAGGAGAUUGACAGGACUGAAGGAGCCGGUGUGAUGGAGGUUAGUGGUCUACAGGUCUAGAAGGAAAUGAAUCGAGUUUUUUUUAUUUUCUUCUACUGUGGUAGAAAUGUAUAGGCAUAUGUUGUCAGGCCUAGGCUACUCCAAGGGUUAGCCUAAACUAGAUUAUUACAUGAUAUUUUUAUGCCAAGUCAUAAAAUUGGCUUCUGGAUUUCGAUCAGUUAAUGUUUCAAUGUUUGAACGUAUCUUAAAGGGUCAUGCAGAAGGAGAGGCUGAGGCAAGGAGUCAGAGAGAGGAAGAGACAGACCAAGCAGCUGCAGCAACUAAUGAUUUAGGUGAAAAAGACACAGGGCCCAGACAGGUUAAGCUGAAGAGCUACCCACAGGACAGCUCAGAACAGGUCAUUUCACCACAGCUGGUAUAUUUGUGUUGUCAAAUUUCACUAUGACCCAGUCAUUCUGUCUCUUGUGUUAUCAUAUACUGAAUGCAAGCAAAACUACAGAGCAAAAUCACACUCUUUCUGAUUAAACCAAUCUAUGAACUGUCUGAAACAAUGGAUAUCCGCGGCCCCAUAUAGGCCUAAAAAAAUUAUAAUUGCCGCGUGCAAACAUGCCACUCCCCUUGGGGCUAAGCCCCCCCUUUCUUUGAAUCCUAGAAACGCCCCUGACAUGGUAUAUACAUGAUACAUACAACAUUUAAACUGGAUAAGGUGGGGAGAGAGAGCAUUCAAAUAUUGCUGAGUGGGUAUACAAUGUGUUAAUAAGGUUACUAUGAUCACAUGGUGACAAGCCCCUUUACCCCCUUGUAUAUUUGCUCAGUCAUAUUACCUGGGCCUCCACCUAGUGCUAGCAUG